AUUCUGUGACGAUGUCCUUAACCCCCCUGGUUUUUGGGCAAAUAUUACGAUAUUAUUAGAUAUAAAGUUUUCUCUCGAGUUUUCUGUUGUUUUUGAGCAAAAAUCUUAAUAUUUCCCUCGAACAUUACUUGUUUUACAACGCGGAGCAAGGGUGCGCGGGUUUGCUUCGUUUGUGGAUGCAGCAUUUCACCACAAAGACUACAAAGAAAGACUAAUUCUUUCAGGUAAGAUUCACGAAACUUUUUUAUAACUUUCUAGACGGCUAGAGUCACUAUAGACCCUUCAUAUUAUGUCAAAAACUCAUCAUCCUAAUAUAUACAGCGAAUAUUUCAAUAGGGGACAUAAAAGUAUUGUUAAUGAUUAAACAUUGUGUACAUGAAAUUGUUGUUUUGUCUCAGCAAUGGCCUUUGUGGUUUUAUUGCCAGACUGCCAGUUUUUAAUUUUAUACUAAAAAUUGUGGUUGUUUACAUGUUCGUAUAUUUUAAAACGUUUAUUAAAUAUGGUGUGAAAUUUAUAUACUUGCCCAUCACAGUGCAGAAUUAGUGUAUAUAGAUAAGCACAAGACCAGAGAGAGUUGAGCCGUAGAGGAGGCCCACCUACAUCUGACAAUGCAUGUGCCCUAGUGUCCUGAUGAGCCCUAAAGACAGUCUUUAUUAUUUUACUCUGUCUGUCUACAGACGAUUUUAAGGGGAUUGUGAUUGUUCCCUGCUGCCACGCAGUGGGUUAAUUACACUAUCUGCAAAUGAGCAGCCCGAGAUAUAUAGUCAGCCCAUUAAGCUGCAAUGAACCCUGGCUACUUUCUUAUUUUACUCAAUCUGUGAGAUUAAAUCCAGAUGUUCACUCAUAAUUUUAAUAAAAAUAGAUAUCAUUUUGCCAUUGUUCAGAACUAUAUAAAACUAUAUAGUUUUACACAGUAUGAUGUCAUAGUUACAUGGCAAGAACAAAAAUGUUGCCCACAAGCUGCCGGGAUUUAAGUGAGUCACUGAUACACUAGUCAUGAGGUAAAUUCAGAAUGCUACAACAUUUCUAACAAUUAGGGCGGAUUUUCAUUUAUUUAAAAGGAGGGGUAGAAAAAUUUCUGGUGGGGUGCGAGCAGCACCACUCAGUGAGCUUUGGCAGGGGUUAGGCGUUUGGGUUAAAGCCUUUCGCACAAAAUAGGAGGGUUGAAGCAGAAUUUUUGGUGGAGUUGAACACUUUCUUAGAGGGGUUUAACCCCCCCCCCACCCCAAGUAAAUCCGCCCAUGAUUUCUAACAUUAGGAGUAGUGAUGUCCAAUUGGCCAUGACACAGCCUGUGGGAAAUUAUGAUGAAAUUUGCUCAUAAUAGUUAAGUUUGACAUAUUUUAGCAGUUAGGAAUGUAAUUGCAUUGCUGAAUAUUGAAACAUGACACUUAAUUUUGAAGCUCAGAUCAAUGGUCUUGGUAAAAACAGAUCAUGUAAUUGCACUCUCCCCUUGACUAGUAAAAUUGUCUGGCGUUAGGUAGAUUAAAAUAAUACAGUAAGGCAUAUCAAGACACAUUGCCACUUGUGAAGGGUUAACAUAUGUGUAUAUGAUAUUUUUGUGAUGUAAAGAUGUAUAAUGUAUCAUGAUAAUAAUGUCAUCUUUUAUUUUGCAGAAAUUAUAUGUUUAAUAUACACAAGAGAUGGCACUGAGGCAUCAACAUGCAGAAAAACAUGCAGAACAACAAAAUGAAUUAGUUAAUUAUAAUACCAUGCAUAACAACAUAAAUAAUUAUAUGAUUAUGAUAACUUUAUU
rnacentral:lncRNA from 1 species